UACGUAGGGGGCAAGCGUUGUCCGGAUUUACUGGGCGUAAAGAGCUCGUAGGCGGUUCGGUAAGUCGGGUGUGAAACCUCCAGGCUCAACCUGGAGACGCCACCCGAUACUGCUGUGACUAGAGUCCGGUAGGGGAGCGUGGAAUUCCUGGUGUAGCGGUGAAAUGCGCAGAUAUCAGGAGGAACACCAGCGGCGAAGGCGGCGCUCUGGGCCGGAACUGACGCUGAGGAGCGAAAGCGUGGGGAGCAAACAGG
rnacentral:rRNA from 1 species